UUGCAGUUGCGGUUGCUCUGCUAUUCGUAUCUUGCAUUCGCCAAUGACCUUAGCCGUCACCGAAACGCUUUCUGCACGGCUCUCCUUUUCCUAGUUACCGGAAGCGUUUUGGAGUUGAUGACGACUGUGUCACGAUGGUACGCGAUCUUUGGUUAUACCAACGACGAAGAUGCUGACCUUAAUAUGGGGAAUGUCCACUGGAUUGUUCGGAGCGCAUGGACUGCUGUAAUGAUCAUUUGGGAAUUAUCUGUGAUCUUUGCAGUAGCUACUAAAUUUUAUUGUCAGCACGAAGAAAUUGUGGGCAAAAUGGAUAAAAUUGGAUUUGCAGCUCGAAUCACAAAAAGUAGAGUAACCUCCGAGUGCUACAACGAAGAAAAUAUCCAAGAAGAAGGCAUGGUGAAGGUCAUCCACGUACUUAGCAAAUCUGAUCGCCCGCGUGGAUAUUCUCUGGGAACUUUGGUCGACAUUAACAAGAAAACCGUUCUUCU